rnacentral:rRNA from 1 species
UACGUAGGGGGCAAGCGUUGUCCGGAAUCAUUGGGCGUAAAGCGCGUGUAGGCGGCCUUGUAAGUCCGUUCUGAAAGUCCGGGGCUCAACCCCGGGAGGCGGAUGGAUACUGCAAGGCUCGAGUACGGAAGAGGCGAGUGGAAUUCCCGGUGUAGCGGUGAAAUGCGCAGAUAUCGGGAGGAACACCGAUGGCGAAGGCAGCUCGCUGGGACGUUACUGACGCUGAGACGCGAAAGCGUGGGGAGCAAACAGG